rnacentral:rRNA from 1 species
GAUGAACGCUGGCGGCGUGCCUAAUACAUGCAAGUCGAGCGAACAGACGAGGAGCUUGCUCCUCUGACGUUAGCGGCGGACGGGUGAGUAACACGUGGAUAACCUACCUAUAAGACUGGGAUAACUUCGGGAAACCGGAGCUAAUACCGGAUAAUAUAUUGAACCGCAUGGUUCAAUAGUGAAAGACGGUUUUGCUGUCACUUAUAGAUGGAUCCGCGCCGCAUUAGCUAGUUGGUAAGGUAACGGCUUACCAAGGCAACGAUGCGUAGCCGACCUGAGAGGGUGAGCGGCCACACUGGAACUGAGACACGGUCCAGACUCCUACGGGAGGCAGCAGUAGGGAAUCUUCCGCAAUGGGCGAAAGCCUGACGGAGCAACGCCGCGUGAGUGAUGAAGGUCUUCGGAUCGUAAAACUCUGUUAUUAGGGAAGAACAAAUGUGUAAGUAACUAGGCACGUCUUGACGGUACCUAAUCAGAAAGCCACGGCUAACUACG